rnacentral:rRNA from 1 species
GACGAACGCUGGCGGCGCGCCUAACACAUGCAAGUCGAACGAGAGAUGAGGAGCUUGCUCUUCAAAUCGAGUGGCGAACGGGUGAGUAACGCGUGAGGAACCUGCCUCAAAGAGGGGGACAACAGUUGGAAACGACUGCUAAUACCGCAUAAGCCCACGGCUCGGCAUCGAGCAGAGGGAAAAGGAGCGAUCCGCUUUGAGAUGGCCUCGCGUCCGAUUAGCUAGUUGGUGAGGUAACGGCCCACCAAGGCGACGAUCGGUAGCCGGACUGAGAGGUUGACGGCCACAGUUGGGACUGAGACACGGCCCAGACUCCUACGGGAGGCAGCAGGUGGGGAAUAUU